rnacentral:rRNA from 1 species
CCUACUGGGGGCUGCAGUGGGGAAUAUUGGACAAUGGGGGCAACCCUGAUCCAGCCAUGCCGCGUGUGUGAAGAAGGCCCUCGGGUUGUAAAGCACUUUCAGUGAGGAAGAACGCCUGGUGGUUAAUACCCAUCAGGAAAGACAUCACUCACAGAAGAAGCACCGGCUAACUCCGUGCCAGCAGCCGCGGUAAUACGGAGGGUGCGAGCGUUAAUCGGAAUUACUGGGCGUAAAGCGCGCGUAGGUGGCUUGAUAAGCCGGUUGUGAAAGCCCCGGGCUCAACCUGGGAACGGCAUCCGGAACUGUCAAGCUAGAGUGCAGGAGAGGAAGGUAGAAUUCCCGGUGUAGCGGUGAAAUGCGUAGAGAUCGGGAGGAAUACCAGUGGCGAAGGCGGCCUUCUGGACUGACACUGACACUGAGGUGCGAAAGCGUGGGUAGCAAACAGGAUUAGAUACCCGAGUAGUC